UUCGAAAACAUAAAAAAAAUUUACUUUAUAUUUUUUUAUUUUUAUUUUUAUUUUUUUACUUUUUUUUUAUUUAAAUAAUAAUUUAUUAUAUGUAUAAUAAUAAUGGCAUAAGAGUCUUUUGUCACUGAAAAAAGUAUUUUUGAAAAUAUCUCUUUAUUGGUGAUAAAAAUAAAAAGUAACCAUAAAAGUGGUAAACAUGUAAUUAGUGGUCCGAGGUCUACUUUAGGGCCAUGUGCUUCUGCACCGUUUGCACACCCCUUAAGCCGGGCCUGGCGGUUAGGUAGGGUUUCUUAAAGUUUAGGGAUUGUAAUUAGUGGUCCCGAGUUCUACUCCUAUCUCGUCUGUUACGUGUAAUGGCUUCUUUCCGAAAUGUUGAUUUUGAUAAACAUAUAUUUCCAUAAAUCAGUAAACAGCAAAAACAACACAACGAGAUAAAGUAAAAUGAGUACUGUAAGUCUUCUACCAUAUAUCAAACCACAUUGUAUGUAAAUUAUUCAUUUUUGAGAUAUAUACCAUUGCAUCAUAUCAUCAUAUCAUUUUCGUUUCUUUAAAGCUUUGGUUCAGUUAGAGCAUCCACAACAAUGAAGCUGUCAAUUAUGUGUUCUCAUGUAUAAAAUAAAUAAAAAUCAGGAGAGAGCAUGAAAAGCUCUCAUUUGAGAGAUACACUCUACACUCGUCAAUCAAACUUGAUUCAGUAGCUUUUAAAAGUUUAAAAAUAAUUAAAUAAACAAAACAUUAAUAUUUUAAUACUUGAGAGAUUGGUAUCUGUUCUACCACUAAUGAAUGAUGCCCUUAAAAUCAAAUUGUACUAUUGUUUUUCUUAUAUUAAUCCCGGGUAAGAUUUGGCUUUUCAAAAUUGAAUUAACUUCAACAAUAAUACAUUUCGGUUAUUUACUCAGCUGUAUAGAAGUGGUGUGACACAUCACUCUUUUUUUAUUCCCUUUUCUAUGUUUGGUUGGUAACAGAAAGUGAACUGAACAACUUUCGAAUAUAUAAACUACACUCUACACCGCUAUGACUAAGAGCAUCUCCAAUCCAUUGCUAUUUUCACCUCUAUAAUAGCAUUUAGAGGUGAAAUUGCUCCAACCCACCUCUAUUUCUUCCUCUAUAAUAGAGAUCUCUAUUUUUUCUUCUAUUUAUAGAGGAAGAAAUAGCAUUCCUCUAUUUUUUACUCUACAUUUUAGAGAUUGCUAUUUUAGGGGAAUACAUUGGAGCAUAUCUCACCUCUAUUAUAGAGUUCCCCUAUUUUAGAGGUGAAAAUAGCAAAAUACAUUAGAGAUGGUCUAAGACCGUGCAAAGGUCUGCCGUUUCCAGCGAAAGAAUAUUGAUCGGCGUUUUAAAGAGUUUGCAUGUCCUUACGUGAUGACUGACGAAUCAAAUCAACAACAUGAACAGUGACUGUGCAAAGACAUUAAUGUUCAGCCACAUGAACAUUAUCCAACUGUGGAAUUUUAUUCCAACAAAAUAUAAAGUAGCAUGUCUUUUAAUUCUAUAACCAGACGCCAAAACUCUAUAGCUGAAACGCUAACACGACAUGCAAAAAGCCAAGAAAAUAAAGAACUCAGUUUCCUACCAAAAAAACCCAAAAAAGGUCAGGUGGGUACAACAACGAUAUCAGAAGACUCCGGCACCAAUUGAGACAUGAACACCAUAACUACCAUUAGCA